rnacentral:rRNA from 1 species
AAUGAACGCUGGCGGCAGGCCUAACACAUGCAAGUCGAACGGAUCCUUCGGGAUUAGAGGCGGACGGGUGAGUAACGCGUGGGAACAUACCCAAAGGUACGGAAUAGCCUCGGGAAACUGGGAGUAAUACCGUAUGUGCUCGAAAGAGGAAAGAUUUAUCGCCUUUGGAUUGGCCCGCGUUGGAUUAGGUAGUUGGUGGGGUAAUGGCCUACCAAGCCGACGAUCCAUAGCUGGUUUGAGAGGGUGAUCAGCCACACUGGGACUGAGACACGGCCCAGACUCCUACGGGAGGCAGCAGUGGGGAAUCUUAGACAAUGGGGGAAACCCUGAUCUAGCCAUGCCGCGUGAUCGAUGAAGGCCUUAGGGUUGUAAAGAUCUUUCAGGUGGGAAGAUAAUGACUGUACCACCAGAAGAAGCCCCGGCUAACUCCGUGCCAGCAGCCGCGGUAA